rnacentral:rRNA from 1 species
AGGGUAUGAUACCGGCUCAGAACGAACGCUGGCGGCGUGGAUUAGGCAUGCAAGUCGCACGAGAAAUCCGGUGAAAAUCGGAGAGUAAAGUGGCGAAAGGGCGAGCAAUGCCUCGAUAACCUACCCCUGAGAUUGGCAUAACGCGCCGAAAGGCGCGCUAAUUCCGAAUACGUCCCCGGGUCGCAUGGCCUGGGUAGAAAGGUGGGGACCCCCAAAAGGGGCCUACCGCUCAAGGAGGGGUCGAGGUCGUAUCAGCUAGUUGGUAGGGUAACGGCCUACCAAGGCUAUGACGCGUACGGGGCCUGAGAGGGUGUUCCCGCGCACUGGGACUGAGACACUGCCCAGACUCCUACGGGGGGCUGCAGUCGAGAAUCUUUGGCAAUGGGCGAAAGCCUGACCAAGCGACGCCGCGUGGAGGAUGAAGGCCUUCGGGUCGUAAACUCCUGUUGGGGGGCAUGAUGGGAGAGAGCGCUAAUACCGUUCUCUCUUGACGUCAACCCCUGAGGAAGCCACGGCUAACUCUGUGCCAGCAGCCGCGGUAAGACAGAGGUGGCAAGCGUUGUUCGGAUUCACUGGGCUUAAAGGGUGCGUAGGCGGCCAGGUAAGUCUGGCGUGAAAUCCCUCGGCUCAACCGAGGAACUGCGUCGGAAACCGCUUGGCUCGAGGGCAGUAGAGGGGGGUGGAACUCCUGGUGUAGCGGUGAAAUGCGUAGAUAUCAGGAGGAACGCCGGAGGCGAAAGCGACCCCCUGGUCUGUCCCUGACGCUGUGGCACGAAAGCUAGGGGAGCGAACGGGAUUAGAUACCCCGGUAGUCCUAGCCGUAAACGAUGGGCACUAGGUGGAGUUGGCUCCGAUGCCGGCCCUGCCGCAACAAAAGCGUUAAGUGCCCCGCCUGGGGACUAUGGCCGCAAGGUUAAAACUCAAGGUAAUUGACGGGGGCUCACACAAGCGGUGGAGCAUGUUGUUUAAUUCGAGGCAACGCGAAGAACCUUACCUGGGUUUGACAUGCACGGAUUAACCCUUGGAAACAGGGGCCACACCCGCGAGGGUGGAACGUGCACAGGUGUUGCAUGGCUGUCGUCAGCUCGUGCCGUGAGGUGUUGGGUUAAGUCCCGUAACGAGCGAAACCCUUGUCCUUAGUUGCCAUCACUUCGGGUGGGCACUCUAGGGAGACUGCCGCCGUCAAGGCGGAGGAAGGUGGGGAUGACGUCAAGUCAUCAUGGCCCUUAAGCCCAGGGCGACUAACGUGCUACAAUGGCCGGCACAAAGAGACGCAAGGCCGCAAGGCGGAGCAAAUCUCAAAAAGCCGGUCCCAGUUCGGAUCGAGGGCUGCAAUUCGCCCUCGUGAAGCCGGAAUCGCUAGUAAUCGCGGAUCAGCUACGCCGCGGUGAAUAUGUUCCUGAGCCUUGUACACACCGCCCGUCAAGCCAUCCUAGUGGGGGGCGCCCGAAGCCACGGGUUCAAAUCCGUGUCUAAGGCGAAACCCAUGAGGAGGACUAAGUCGUAACAAGGUAGCCGUAUCGGAAGGU